UACGUAGGGGGCAAGCGUUAUCCGGAUUUACUGGGUGUAAAGGGGGCGCAGACGGCGAUGCAAGCCAGGAGUGAAAGCCCGGGGCCCAACCCCGGGACUGCUCUUGGAACUGCGUGGCUGGAGUGCAGGAGGGGCAGGCGGAAUUCCUGGUGUAGCGGUGAAAUGCGUAGAUAUCAGGAGGAACACCGGUGGCGAAGGCGGCCUGCUGGACUGCAACAGACGUUGAGGCCCGAAAGCGUGGGGAGCAAACAGG
rnacentral:rRNA from 1 species